GGAUGUGAAGGUGAUCUGGCUGAGAAAUAUUACCCACUGAUCACCAGGAUUGAUUUGGCUGAUCUGGCUGGCUAGACAGGUGCCUUAUUCCUCCCUCACCACUCCAUGUGUCUCCCUCCCGAAGCUGCAUGCUCAGUCGAAGAGGACAACCUUCCCCAAAUAGAGGAGGAUUGGUCUUUGGUCAAGGGUAUACCAGUAGCUGCACUCCCCUGCUAGAACCUCUAAACAAGCUCUCAAAUAAAAAAAAUCUGUUGGUCUUAGAAGAACAAAGUGGAUCUUAGGAAACAAGAGUAUAUCAAAUUGCUCUGAUAUAGUUUAGGCCUAGACUCCAUAGUUAGA
rnacentral:snRNA from 1 species